GGGGCUAGAGAUACCAUCUACAUCUCGUCUGAUCUCGGAAGCUAAGCAGGGUCGGGCCUGGUUAGUACUUGGAUGGGAGAUACCAUCUACAUGCCCACCAGAUUUGAAUGUAAGGCCUUCAGCCUGA
rnacentral:rRNA from 1 species